AUCCAGCUGACCAGUCCCAAACAGAGUGAAACGCAAGUACUGGAU
rfam:Schistosoma rodhaini strain Burundi genome assembly, scaffold: SROB_scaffold0000085